rnacentral:rRNA from 1 species
GACAGAGACGGCAAGCGUUAUUCCACAUAACUGGGUGUAAAGGGUGAGUAGGCGGUCCUUUGGAACCUGACGGGAAAUGCUUAUGUACCGCCAUAAUUCUCGUUCAAGGAACUCUGGUCUUUGAGAUAUGCAUAGGUUCGCGGAAAUGGCUUGAGCGUCUAUGUCUCGAUUAGAGAUUAUACGUACGGUACCUCCGUAGGCGAAGGCGGCCAACCGGGCAUAAUCUGACGCUGAGGUCACGAAACGUAGGUUAACGAAAUGG